GACGAACGCUGGCGGCGUGCUUAACACAUGCAAGUCGAGCGGUAAGGCCCUUUCGGGGUACGACGAGCGGCGAACGGGUGAGUAACACGUGGGUGACCUGCCCUCAGCUCUGGGAGUAAGCCUGGGAAACCGGGUACUAAUACCGGAUAUGACUCCAUGACGCAUGUUGUGGGGUGGAAAGCCUUGUGCGGCUGAGGAUGGGCCCGCGGCCUAUCAGCUUGUUGGUGGGGUGAUGGCCUACCAAGGCGACGACGGGUAGCCGGCCUGAGAGGGCGACCGGCCACACUGGGACUGAGACACGGCCCAGACUCCUACGGGAGGCAGCAGUGGGGAAUCUUGCGCAAUGGGCGAAAGCCUGACGCAGCGACGCCGCGUGAGGGAUGACGGCCU
rnacentral:rRNA from 1 species